rnacentral:rRNA from 1 species
AAGGGCACCACAAGAACGCGUGGAGCAUGUGGCUUAAUUUGACUCAACGCGGGAAAUCUUACCGGGUCCGGACACACUGAGGAUUGACAGGCAAUAUAAUCGCACUCGAUGCGACAUCAAAUAUGCUAGUCCUUUCAUGAUUAUGUGAUAGGUGGUGCAUGGCCGUUCUUAGUUCGUGGAGUGAUCUGUCUGCUUAAUUGCGUUUCACUAAGGGCCUAUAUAUUCAUGCGUGUGUAGGGUUGCAGCGAAUGCAUUCAUACUGCUACGCUCACCUCAUACGCUGUUAGGUCCUGAAAGCAACGAACGUGACCGCAACCUCUUGUUGCCUCAACACAUACCAGUGCUUUAUUGCACUGUGAGGCUAUUUUAAAACUAGAGGGACCGCUGCUACUUUCUUAAACCAGAGGAAGGUUGCGGCAAUAACAGGUCUGUGAUGCCCUUAGAUGUUCCGGGCUGCACACGUGCUACAAUGAUUAUUGCAGUGAGCAUCUCAUUUUAUACACACCGCAUGCGCGAGUCGUACACAAUGUGUUUCGCUCUGCGCGCGGUAAAGCCUGCUUCGAAAGUAAGUGGGUAAUCAAUUAGAAGUAAUGAUUUCCUUUUUUUAUCAGCACACAUAUAUACGGCGUCAUUACCCGGCUGUCCUUGUUGGCAGUUUUUGUGCGUAUUGAUGUUUCUUACCGUAUGUGCGAUUGUCAAUUCAUGGUGGGGACAGACCAUUGUUAAUUGUUGGUCUCGGUCUUAACUAGGAAUGCCUUGUACGGGUCUUUGGUUCAACAAACCACCCGGAAUACGUCCCUGCCCUUUGUACACACCGCCCGUCGCUCUUACCGAUGGACUUCUCUGUGAGUUUGAGGGACCGCUCCAUGGAAACUUAAACGAACAGUGUGGUCUAAAGGAAAGAGAAGUCGUAACAAGGCA